AAUAUUAAUAAGAAUCUAAGGUUACAGUGAACCACUCUUGCUCCACCACUACUAUUUUCUAUCUAUCUUUCUCUAUUCACUAGGAGCUCUAGGAGCUCUGUAUGAACAACUCUAAUCUCUAUGCUCAUACAUCUCCACAAACUAUUUCUAUCAAUAUUACCCAGAAUCAAAUUCAUUUACAAAUACCGACAGUUUUACUGCUGAGUCGCCCAAACUGGUUGAAGAGGAAGAAGAAUAUGAUGAUGAUUAGGGUUUAACUGUUGCGAUUUUCUCACGUGUGCAGAUCCUCUGUCCCAUAUAUCUCUCUGUGCCCCUGUCUCGACCACUCCUGAUAUAACACGUAUCUUUUAUUUUAACGGUGACUCAGGUAUCCUUUUAUACUCAUUGUGGUUGGAUUCCAAAGACUAUAGAAUUCUGUAACACCCUCACAAUGCAGUAAACAGACCAAGCCGUCGCAAGAACCCAUGCAUGAUACCAAAUAUCUUUGCAGAUUUAAACGGGUGAUGCUUCACAAUAACAACAGAGUGAAUCAGGUCUAGUGUAUUAAUGAAUUCAGGUCUAGUGUAUAAAACGAGAAAAAUAACUCGAUCUAACACCAAAGUGACCACUGACCAGACUGACAGCUACCAAACUCUAUUUCGAGCAUCGUUGUUCUGAAUCCGUUUUUGGUUCUAAAGUUAAACGUUGUAACUGAAGUGAUCAACAUAAGGCUGUCCGAGUGAUAAUAGUAUUACUGCCCCAUUGAAGAAUCACUGCUUGUGUCGAUUAAUUAAUGGCUGACUGGAACCCAUAAUACAGAACCAAUCAAUUUGUGAUGGAAGGAAUAUUUGGUGACCCAAUGACACUCGUGCGUGCCUUGGUGCGUCAGAUGACGGAAACUUAAAUUUGAGAUCGUCAGCUUAAAUUUUAUGUGCAAGGUCCAUGCAUAGAAGCGCUAAGUACAAGUGAAGUCAUUUUGGAGCAGUUACGAUCAAUCUUUGUUGUAUCCUCUUAUCUUCUAUAUAGUGCCGAGUAUAUAUGUAGUCCAAUGUUUUUCCAUAAGUCAUUUUACAUAAGUUUCUCGAUGAACACAAAAUAUUUGGUGGUCUCAUAUUAACAUUUGCUAUGCGCAUAGAUUUACUCUUCUUUUCUAAGAUUGCCCGUUGUCAGAGAUUACUCGCACCUUCCUCUUUUCUAAUUCUAAGUAUUACUCUGUGUCCAA